GCCCAGGUGGCGGAAUUGGUAGACGCGCACGUUUCAGGUGCGUGUGUAGAGAUACGUGCAGGUUCGAGUCCUGUUCUGGGCA
rnacentral:tRNA from 1 species